CCGAUAUGCAAAGCCCAACGUCAAAAGCAGUUGUCACUUCGUCGCGAGCGGACGUGCGUGUUUGUGGUUUCGCUGUUCCGUAAAAUCCUCCCCCCAGAUUUAUGCUGCGGGAGGCCCGGUUGUUUUCUUUUUUUUUUGUUUUUGGUGUUUUGUUUCGCCCGCGCGAUAAAUGAGUGUGUGUGUGAGUGUGCAACGACGAUAAACGAACCUGCCACUGCUUUUAAUAAUACUACCGUGUCGCAGUUGUGCUGUUGUUCCGUGCAAUGGUGUAUAUGAUUACAAAUUGUGUGUAGGUGUGUGCGUGUGCGUGGUGCAAGUUUGCGUCUUGUUGAGUUAUGCACCGAAUUUAAUAAAAAAAUAUAUAUAAAGAAAUAAAAGGUGCAAUCAAGUGCAAUGUGCAAUGUAGAUAAAGCAAUGCAAUUAAGCAAAUCAGUGCAAGAUGUGCGUACGAAAUAGUGAAAAGUAACUUGUGUGUGACAACAACAGGCUUAAGUUAGCAAAACAGUGAUCGAAAUAUUCUCAUCCUGCCUGGAGCUGUCGGAGCGUACCGGAAUCGUAAACAACAUUCGCCAGGAUGACGGUCUGGAGUCGAGUGCCGGCACAUUUCCUUGCCAUCGCGAAAGCGAACUACACGGCGCAGGAAAAGCCGCAUCACAUCGACCUGGACGUUGGUGACACGGUGGUGAUCGAGCAGGAGUCCUACCAUUGGUACUACGGGCAGAACAGCAGCACGGGUGCGUUGGGCAUCUUUCCGAAGGUGUACGUGCAUCCGGUUGAUAGCAAAACGUCGCGCGAUGGUGAUCUCGUGAUACGGCGUAGCGAAAUCGUCGAGGAGAUCACGACAGUGUUGAGGGAAUGGCAGUAUCUCUACCGCCGGCUCUACCUAUCGACGCAUCCGUCCUUCAAGCUGGUGCAGAGUAAGAUGCUCGAGCUGAUAAGGUUACGGUCGCAGCUACUCUCCGGCAACCUGCCAGUCGACGAGAUGAAGAACAUCAAGCUUAAGGCGACCAGCGAAAUCGACACGGGCAAUAAGAUCCUGAACUUGGACAUGGUGGUGCGGGACGAUGGUGGUAAUAUCGUUGAUAUCGAUCGCACCUCCACCACCCAGCUGUACGAGCAUCACCUGAACGCGGUCGAUCGGAUCAAGCGGGCCAACACGUCGAACAGCAAGAACCGCAAUCUGGAUAUUAUAAAUCGUCACUCGCACAACCUGCUACUGUCGGUGCACAAUUUCGUGUGUAGAUUAAGUGAGGAUACGGAAAUUAUGUUCACACUGUACGAUGGUGAUGAGAUGCGGGCCAUCACGGAAAACUAUGUGGUCAAGUGGAGCCGCCAGGGUAUGGCCGCGGAUCUGGAUCAGUUCAACAACAUUAAGGUGCUGUUUACGGAUCUUUCGGGCAACGAUUUGAGCCGGAACAAAAUAUACCUAGUGGCGUACGUCGUGCGGAUCGGUGCGAUGGACGGGAAGGAUACGGAUCUGCGCCGUAGCAGUAUGGCCAACUCCACGGGCAGUGGAAGCUACAAAACGCACCGAAAUCAUUUAAACUCUCAGCUAAGCACUCCAUCCUCACCUGGACCGGGUGGUGGAAGUGCUGGUGGUGGGCAGUCCAGCUCGGGAACACCAUCGAUCGGAUCCAGCGUUUCAUCGAAUGCGGGCAAUGAGUUCCAUAUGCGUCGUCCGUUCGGUGUAGCAACGUUAGAUUUACAGCCGAUAAUUAAACGGUCGGAAGAUUUCAAGAGCGAUACGCAGCUCAAAAUGCCGUUCAUUGCUUGCGAAAAGGAACCGCUAGAAACGACCCUGCGCAAGCUGAUAACCAACAAAGAUCUUGGCGAAAAGAGUGAUGCGGCCAUCUGGAUCAGUGUGGACAUACUGUUCGGUGACAUCAAGCAGGUGCGGGACGAGUAUCCCCAUCUCGUCCUGGGCAAUGUGGCGUUCGCCCGCAAGAUGGGCUUCCCUGAAGUGAUCUUUCCGGGUGACGUGCGGAACGAUCUCUACCUCACGCUGGUGUCGGGGGAGUUUUCCAAGGGCUCGAAAAGCAGCGACAAAAACAUCGAGGUGACGGCGUACGUGUGCAACAAGAACGGGGUAGCGAUCCCGGGCGUCAUCAGCUACGGUGGUGGCGGAAAUGCACUGAACGAGUACAAAUCCGUCAUCUACUACCACGAGGAUCGGCCAAAGUGGGGCGAAACGUUCAAGAUCGACGUGCCGAUCGAGGAGUUUAAGCAGUGCCAUUUGCGGUUCACCUUCAAGCACCGCAGCUCGAACGAGGCGAAGGAUCGUUCGGAGAAACCGUUCGGGCUGUCGUACGUACGGUUGAUGAACGAUGACGGCACCACGCUACAGCACAAGCGCCACACGCUGCUGGUGUACAAGAUAGAUCACAAAAAGUAUGACGACGAGACGCAGUUUAACUACUUACAUUUGCCAUCGCUCACGGACGAACUGCCCAACGGCAGCUCCAAACCGUCCAUUAGCGGAUUCAGUCUCGCAUCCAAGGACAGUUUCAUCAUCGAAACGAACCUGUGCAGCACGAAGCUGACACAGAACGUUGACAUUCUUGGGCUGCUGAAUUGGUCGUCUAGGAAGGAAAAGAUGGAAGAAUCGCUGAACGCGCUAAUGAACGUACGGUGCGAGGAGGUGGUCAAGUUCCUGCAAGAUAUUCUGGACGCUCUCUUCAACAUACUGGUGUCGAACGAUGACCCGGCGAAGUACGAUAAUUUGGUGUUCAAGUGUCUGCUUCGAUUGAUCGAGAUCGUGUACGAUCUGAAGUACCAACACUUCCAAUCGGUGCUCGAUCUGUACAUAAACGAAAGCUUCUCCGCGACAUUGGCUUACGAAAAACUAAUCAACGUUGUGCAAACGCACAUCCGGAAUGCCAUCAACAACAUUUCAAAGGAUCGUGCCAUGGCAAACAUCUACACGGUGAACGAAAAUGACGAGGCGCUCUACCGCACCACAAAGUACCUGCAGUACAUCAUGAAGUUCAUCAUCCGCUCGCGGUUACUGUUUGCCGACUUGAACCAGGACAAGGACCGGGACCUGUUCGUAGCCGGGCUCGAGGAGCUGCUCGAAUCGUUCUCCGAGCUGAUCAAGUACCAGAACGAUCUGCUAAAAUCGCAGGGAGCUCUGCUGAAGUAUCUCCACAUCAUUGCAUCGGACCUGAUGCAGGUGUACGAUCCGGUCAAGCUGAGCCAGAAAAUCGUGGACAUCAUCACGAACGUACCGACCGGCCGGCUAAACCAAUCGAAGAUGACCUGCAUCAAGGAUGUGGUCGACUCGAAGCUGUUCAAGCUACCCAAAUGCCGUGCAAUUCUGCUGCCCGUAUUCUGUCGGCAGAUUAAGGAUAAGCUCGAGAGCAAGGAAGAGGGUGACUUUAUGUUCGACAUACGGCAGCAGGAGAAAAAUCUUAACAAAGCAGCUAGAGUGCUUGGGGAAAGCAAAUCCCAGCUUCACACGCGCGAAACCACCGCUAAGACGAAGGUGGCCGAAUGUGUGAAUAUCAUGAACAACAUGCUGGAGCUGCUAUUCCAGAGCGAGGAAGACAUUGGCCCGGUGGAGAAUGAUAUCCGGGACAUUAUGUUGAUCCUGCUGCGUACGGUGAUCCAGAGCUCGAUCGCUAUGGACCGUAGCAAUCCGCUCGUGGGCAAUCUGGUGGCCAUCAUGCUCGGGAUCUUCCGCAGCAUGACCGAAUCGCACUACCAGUGCUAUGUGCGCAGUUUCCUCACGAGCUACGACCUGCUGGACUUCCUCACCGAGAUACUGCUCGUGUUCCAGGAGCUGGUCUCGAAGCCGGUCUUCCCGAUGGACUGGCUGGACAUGAUCAUGCACCAGAACAUGGUGAUCCUUGGCAGCUUGCGACACUUUGCCGCCAUCAUAAUGGACCAGUUUUUCAGCCCGUUCGAGAAGCAGGUCUGGUCGAACUACUUCCAAUGCUCGAUCACGUUCCUUACGCAGCCGGCCCUGCAGCUGAAUCUGUUCAGCAAAACGAAGCAAUCGGUCAUCCGCAGCAACUAUCGUGACAUCCGGCGGGAAACGGUAUUCGAGAUACGGAAGAUGUGGUUCAACCUGGGCGAGCACAAGAUCAUGUUCGUGCCGCGCCUUGUCGGGCCGAUCCUGGAGAUGAGCAUGAUACCGGAGGAAGAUCUGCGCCGGGCAACGAUACCGAUCUUUUUCGACAUGAUGCAGUGCGAGUAUUACAGCUCGAAGUAUGCGAUGGAGAGCUACGGCGAUACGAAGCGCAACACGGCCCAUAUAAAGGGGAAUUUCAAUGACUUUGAGAAGGAGAUCAUCGAAAAGCUCGAUCACUACAUCGAGGGUGGGUACGGCGAUACGGAGUACAAGGAUCUUUUUUACGAGAUCAUGCACGAAUCGUGCAGCAAUCAUAGUACGCUGCAAACGUACGGUGUGCAGUGCGUGCAGAUACUGACCCGGCUAAUGGAGAAGUUGCUCGAGUACCGGUGUUUGAUACACGACGAAAGUAAGGAGAACCGGAUGGCGUGCACGGUGAGCCUGUUGCAGUUCUACUCGGACGUAAACCGGAAGGAGAUGUACAUCCGGUACGUGGACAAGCUGUAUGAGCUGCACAUGGAGUUUGACAACUUCACGGAGGCGGCCUACACGCUGAAGCUGCACAGCAAUGAGCUGAACUGGGACGAAACACCGUUGUCGCUGUUGCUGAAAUCGAAACGCCACUAUUCCUGCCCAACGCACCGAACGCUCAAGGAGCAGCUGUACCGCAGCAUGAUCGAUCUGUUCGACAAGGGCAAAAUGUGGGAGUGUGCGCUCGAUCUGUGCAAGGAGUUGGCGCAACAGUACGAGAACGAGGUGUACGAUUAUCUCAGUCUAAGUGAACUGUGCAAAAAAAUGUCACACUUUUACGAAAGCAUACUACGAACGACACGGUACGAGUCGAUCUACUACCGCGUCACGUUCUACGGAACCGGAUUCCCGGAGUUUCUGCGCAACAAAGAGUUUGUGUAUCGGGGCAACGAGUACGAGGAUGCAGGAUCGUUCAAUAUGCGCAUACUGAGCCAACAUCCGCGGGCUGAGCUGCUGACCACGCUUACACCCGGUCCGGAAAUACUGGAGUGCGACGGGCAGUUCAUACAGAUCGUGAAGGUCGAUCCGGUAAGCCGGGAUAUACGGUUCGGUGGCAAAAACACACAAACGAUCGCUGCCAACAUAGUGAAGUUUUACAAAUCGAACAACGUGAGCGAGUUCCAGUUUUCUCGUCCGAUACGAGACAGUGGAGCAAGCGGAGAUGAUAUCGCCGGUACCUCGUACGAGCGUACCAUCAUGCGGACGACGGAUCCAUUGCCGGGGAUACUAAGAUGGUUCCCGGUGAAAUCGUCUGAAACCAUCAUGAUAUCCCCAAUUGAGAUGGCUAUCGAAACGGUGGAUGCAAAGAACCGUGCCAUCCGGGAGCUGGUGCUGGAGCAUCAGAACGAUCCGCGGAUACCGGUCCACUCGCUGAGCGCCGUCAUCAAGGGUGUAGUAGAUGCCGCAAUCAACGGUGGACUUCCAAUCUACGAGGAAGCAUUCCUAACGCCAGGCUACCUAGAGCGACACCCCGGUGACGAUCAUCUGGUAGCGCGGCUUAAAGACCUUAUCGCGUCCCAGAUCCCACUGCUCGAGGUAGCGCUGCUGCUGCACAAGAUGAAAACACCCGCCAUUUUGCUCCCGUUCCACGAUCAGCUGGAGAAGUGCUUCGCCACGAUUCAGGCGAACGUGGAGGCAAAGUACGGUAAGCGGGUGACCGAUAUUAAGAUCGACCGAGAUGCGGAGGUGACGCUGCGUCGGCACAUUUCCGCCACCCAGCCGCAAAUCAGCAUGGAUUCAAGUCGCCUGUCGGAAACGAGCAUAGGAUCGUCCGAUAGCGGAAUCUCGAAGAACCAAAACAGUCGUCCAACGACGACCAGUUCCGGCGGGUUCAAAAACACUAUCGCCAACUUGGCCAACUUCAAUACGGUCAACUUAGCAAGGCUCGAUCUAUCAUCGCACAUACUGCACUCGAACGGGAAAAUCAUGUCGCAGCAUAUCUUUUCCUUUCUUCAGCAUUAAAUCGCAGCAUCAUUUUUCCGUUUUUCUUUUCGUUCUGUUCUGUUCAACCUUGUCCUAUCGGCGUGCAAAUUUCGUGUUCUGUUUGGUGCAUUUGUUUCUCUUCACUAUGCUUUCUUAGUUUCAUCUUUUUGGGGUUUUACUUCUCUGUUAUCAGCUGUUGUGAAUCCUAUGUUUGUGUAUAGAAGCGUGCCAUCUAGAGUUUUUUUUUCUCGUUUUUUUUUUGAUUAUUUUUUUGUUUUAUAAUUAUAUUGUUUUUCCUUCAUUUUCUUUUUCAUUUUUCGUUAACCCUAUGCCAUAGAACGUCCCUCGGUACAUCGCCCGGAUCGAAAACGAAGAAGGACAAAACGCUCACUAAACGACGAUCGAGUCGUAAGAUGGAUCGAGAGUCGUUGAGUUUGUCGGUGUCCAAUAGUCAAUUUUACACUAGUCCCAUAUCGGCGGCAAGCGAACACAGCACCAGCAUUGUCACCUGCGACAGGGACAGCUGUGGUCCGGUCAGUCUUUUACCGGCCGUUACCGGCUCGAACGCAACCACUCCUACCAACUCCUUGCCCGUCGUCGAACUAACACAGGAGUUACAUCCCAAACGACCGUUACGCUCGGAAGUGGAGAAAGAGAAGCGUCUCUCCAGACCGCCAAGCAUUGCGACGCCGACGAUGGGCAGCAGACCGCUACCGGGUCCGAACGGUACGGCAGCCGGUGGCGAUACCAACUCGAUCGGAUCGGCCGAAAGUAGCAGCAAUCGAAACUCAAUCAUUACCAACGGUUCUACCACGUCGGAGGAGGACGGUGUUCCGCCGCCCUUACCACUCAAAACACGAACCGAUGCCGAUUACACUAAUCUGCCGAGCGGUGUGAAGGCACAGUCGGCCCCACAGCAGCCCAGCAAUGCAAGCCACUACAUCACGUUUAAACCACUGCUGACGACGACGGGCAGCACCGUGGUGGCCGUAAACGCGUCGUACGAUGUGGUGGAAACGCGAAAUCAUAGCGUGAUUGUGAUCAACUCCAGUUCCUCGAGCGUACCCGGUAGUCCACCACCGUCGGGAGCGUACGACGAUCGGAAACGGCCACCAACGCCACCACCGAAACCGGCACGCAACAGUAAGGUAUGAGCAGUAGGGAUGGCCUAAAGAUGCGGUAGUUGGUUUGUUGGUAAAACUACGACACACUUACACACAUACACUCUUUAAAGUACAAAAACGGAACAGAGGAGUGACGGAAUUUGAAGAAAAAAAAUUAUCCACCUUUGCUGUGAGGGUUAUGGCGAAACAGGGUUUGUUUUUAGCUAGUGAAUUUGGAUCCGGCUUUUGUUUGGAAUGUUGCAUCGAUACAGGAAAAAAGACUGACGUGGUGGUUUGGAGAGUUUGGAGUGAGAGACAACGGGGAAAAGUGGUGGGACAGUAUGUUGCAGAGUAUAUGCAAAAGGCCAUAUUUGUUGUGAGUGUGAUGCUUAAGUUGAGAGCAGUCGAUGUAUAUUUUAACCGUAUAGAUAUAUUAUUUUAGUUUCGCUUUUGUUUUCACUAUUAAGCUUUAGUGCGUCUUCCGGUAUAAUAGUGGUAGUAGUAAAUGUAAUUAAUGUAAGCAGCGCUAAGCCAUAUAUAUAUAUUGACCGGAACAAGAAGCACAAUUCAUUUUACACUGACAAAACAUGACCCGUCCCGGGGGCACAGUUUCGGCCAAAUGACCAAAGAUAGAAGGAAAACACAAAUCGAUGUGUUUUUUCCCCCACAUCCACCAAUCUUUUCCCCAUCAUUCACAUGCACAAUGGCGGACAGAGAAAGCGACGCAGGGCAUCCGUGCUGACCGGAUUAUAAAUAUGUAGUGGAGAUAGGCAAUUAUAAUAAGGUUAACUAUUUAGCAGCAAAUGUCGUCUUGUAACGGCUGGAUGCGUGUUAUAGCAUAGUUUACACAAUGUUCUAGAUAAUUGAAGGGAACCGUCGCACACGCGUGUGUGUGUGUGGCAGUGUAAAAGCAAUCUUAUUUAUAGACCAAAUAUUCGAAGCAAUUAUUUACCUGUGGAUGGAUGUGUGAAAGGGUGUACAGUAAGUGGUGGUAGUAAGUAGUCGAAAAACAAAACAGCUAUAAGACACAAAUUAUGCGCGCGUGUGUGUGAGUGUAUAUAUGCAGAGGGCAUGAUAUAUCUUCGCGUUAGUAUCCGACAAGCUUUUUCUCCUUCUCCAAGCAAUCAAACUAGUUGCUAAAGUGAAUCGGGUCAAUUUUCUUCAGCUCGUACGUAUAUCAACAGUUGGCAGUAGUGAAAUAAAGCAAAACCGUAAAGCCGUUUAUUAGUGCAAUGGAA